GUGUGGGGCGUCUCGGUAUCUGAUUAUUUGCCGGCCAGGACGAGGGCAUUGGGGGCCAGGCCGAUUUCCUCUCUGCUCCAGCAUUUGGGGACCAGCCAGACGACCCCCACAAUGGCUGGUCACCAAGAUGGCGGCAGGGAUGGGCGCAAGGACGGGGAGCGCCUCCGCGAGCCAGAGCCGUUUCCACCAGUCAGACUCCUGCGCUCCCUCAGAGACUGUUUCUCUCUCUACAUGUAGGAUUGAUGAGAGACAAAACAACUAGGGCGGAUACUACGGCAAUACUGUAAUGUCUGGUUCUAUAGAAUUGACCCUAAUAGCAGCUGCUGGCCCUAAAAGGCAUCUGUUUCCUGGAUUCCUCCCCACCUCCAAGAUGUUUCCACACUUCCUUACUUGGCUUCAGUUGGAUAACGUAGAAUUCUCUGCCCCAAACAUUUUGGAAUAGUGAAGCCAGCUUCUUGGGUGACUCUUUCUUGCAGAACUUUAACAUCACUGUCGGAAGAGGCGCCUGAGUCAGAUUUGGGAGAUCAUGUUUUUCUUUUUUUAAGCGAUGGCCCACAGCAAUGACAAAUUACGGAUCACUUCAAGAGAUUCACUUGGAAUGCUUUCCAUUAGCAACCCGGGAGAUCUGGAAGGUGCCGCCAGUGGGCCCUAGCUAGGCAGACCUAGCGCAUGGAGCAGGUGCAGGUGACUCUCCAGGCUCUCCACAAAGGAAGAGCACAGCUUCCAGGUGGACGCGGCCAGCUGCUGACGGAGGCCCAGCGCCCACUGAGCAACUCUCCAGGCUCCAGCUUUCUCCUUCUAAAAAUGGGUGUCACUUAGCUUCCUUUUAAUAAUUUAAUUAGUAAAUUGGCAUAAAAUGCUGCUGGACUGUGGCAUAUCAAACAGCAAUUGCUUUAAUUAUCAAAGUUACUAAGUAAACGACUUCUCCUUCAUGGCAUGAUUUUUUAUAGCACAUUGACAUGUAUUUUUCUAUAAUUAAGAAUGCACGUUAGGACUGAGACAAAGUAAGAACAGACAUAUCCAUCCAUCGUGCUUAAGCUCUGCCUGUUUGAAUACUCGGAGUGGAAAGCUAUGCUCGCCACCGACCUAAGAAUGUUUCUGGGUUUCAGGAAAACUUUUUCUCCAGUAAAAUGUUUAUAAGGACUUUCCUCUUCACAGCGCCUCUGAGGACGCUCUAGAAAGCUGUUCAUGAAGACGUAAACUCGUGUGCUCCUUCCGUCGUAGCGUCAUUCAAGGGAUUUCUCCCUGCGGUGAGUGCUCUGAGCUUGGGGGACCAGCUCGGUGAUCACGUUUACAAGUUCCCCUACAGGGGCCAUGCGUCUUCAUCAAAUCCUGGUGUUUGCAGGUAUUUUUCUCUGCAUGAGGCAUUUUUAGGCCCCCGUUUCUCAAGAUUCUCCUCCUGCUUCUGUGGACUGGCUCUCUCCCCUCUCCCCUGGGGAUGAAGGUCCCGUGACUGACGCCUGCAGCCCGACGUGGUCUCAGGACCGUCUGGCUGAGCCCCAGGGAUGCCCUUCAGUGGCUCGCAUGUGGGGAGAACUGGCUGACCUUAGGGACUCUCUGGCCUCCUGCCUUCAACCAUGUUCUCAUGCACAAAAUUGGCACCUGGGUACCGAGUGUCCCUGGGGAGGUCGCCAUUCUCAGGGGCUGAGGAAAUAGCAACGCUUGAAAGUGCCA